rnacentral:rRNA from 1 species
UACGUAGGGGGCAAGCGUUGUCCGGAUUUAUUGGGCGUAAAGAGCGUGUAGGCGGCCAGGCAGGUCUGCUGUGAAAACUCGAGGCUCAACCUCGAGACGUCGGUUGAAACCGUCUGGCUAGAGUCCGGAAGAGGAGAGUGGAAUUCCCGGUGUAGCGGUGAAAUGCGCAGAUAUCGGGAAGAACACCCGUGGCGAAGGCGGCUCUCUGGGACGGUACUGACGCUGAGACGCGAAAGCGUGGGGAGCGAACAGG